CUGCUAUCGAGGUGGGACUAAGCCAUGCUAGUCGAACGAACUUUAUGUUAGUGGCACACUGCUCAGUAACACGUAGCUAACUACCCUUAGGACGAGGACAACCCCGAGAAAUUGGGGCUAAUCCGCGAUAGGUGUGAUGUCCUGGAAUGGUAUCACGCCCAAAGGUGUUCGCACGCCUAAGGAUGGGGCUGCGGCCGAUCAGGCAGUUGGUGAGGUAACGGCUCACCAAACCUUUGACCGGUACGGGCCAUGAGAGUGGUAGCCCGGAGAUGGACACUGAGACAAGGGUCCAGGCCCUACGGGGCGCAGCAGGCGCGAAACCUCCUCAAUGCACUCACGUGCGAAGGGGUUACCUCGAGUGCCGCCUGAAGAAGGCGGCUUUUCCGUGGUCUAAAAAGCCUAGGGAAUAAGAGGGGGGCAAGACUGGUGUCAGCCGCCGCGGUAACACCAGCCCCUCGAGUGGUGGGGAUGAUUAUUUGGCCUAAAGCGUCCGUAGCCGGCCGGGUAAGUCUCCCGUUAAAUCCAGCGUCUCAAGCGUUGGACUGCGGGAGAUACUGUCUGGCUAGAGAGUGGGAGAGGUGUACGGUAUUCUGGGGGUAGGGGCGAAAUCCUUUGAUCCCCGGAGGACCACCAGUGGCGAAGGCUGUACACUAGAACACGUCUGACGGUCAGGGACGAAAGCUGGGGUAGCGAACCGGAUUAGAUACCCGGGUAGUCCCAGCCGUAAACGAUGCACGCUAGGUGUUGGGUCGGCCACGAGCCGCUCCAGUGCCGCAGGGAAGCCGUUAAGCGUGCCGCCUGGGGAGUACGGCCGCAAGGCUGAAACUUAAAGGAAUUGGCGGGGGAGCACCACCAGGCGUGAAGCCUGCGGUUUAAUU
rnacentral:rRNA from 1 species